UGGUGGAUUGAUUUGUCUGGUUUAUUCCGUUAACGAACGAGACCUCGACCUGCUAAAUAGUGUGGUUCAUCCUUUCGGGUGGGUCCAAACUUCUUAGAGGGACUUGUGGUGUGUAGCCACAGGAAGUUCGAGGCAAUAACA
rnacentral:rRNA from 1 species